AAAAGAAGGUAUUUUAAAGAAUGUUGUGAACCUGUAACCAUUGACCUCCAUAGUAUUUGUUUUUCCUACUAUAGAUGUCAAGGAUUACAAGUUUCCAACAUUCUUC
rnacentral:miRNA from 1 species